rnacentral:rRNA from 1 species
CGUCCUACGGGGCGCAACAGUAGGGAAUCUUCGGCAAUGGACGAAAGUCUGACCGAGCAACGCCGCGUGAGUGAAGAAGGUUUUCGGAUCGUAAAACUCUGUUGGUAGAGAAGAACGUUGGUGAGAGCGGAAAGCUCAUCAAGUGACGGUAACUACCCAGAAAGGGACGGCUAACUACGUGCCAGCAGCCGCGGUAAUACGUAGGUCCCGAGCGUUGUCCGGAUUUAGUGGGCGUAAAGCGAGCGCAGGUGGUUUAUUAAGUCUGGUGGAAAAGUCAG